CCUACGGUGGGCAGCAGUGGGGGAUAUUGCACAAUGGAGGAAACCCUGAUGCAGCGACGCCGCGUGUGGGAAGACGGUCCUCUGGAUUGUAAACCACUGUCCCCAGGGACGAAGAUGACGGUACCUGGGGAGGAAGCUCCGGCUAACUACGUGCCAGCAGCCGCGGUAAUACGUAGGGAGCGAGCGUUGUCCGGAAUUACUGGGUGUAAAGGGAGCGUAGGCGGGGAUGCAAGUUGGGUGUCAAAACUACCGGCUCAACUGGUAGUCGCACUCAAAACUGUAGCUCUUGAGUGAAGUAGAGGCAGGCGGAAUGUCUAGUGUAGCGGUGAAAUGCGUAGAGAUUAGGAGGAACACCAGGGGCGAAGGCGGCCUGCUGGGCUUUUACUGACGCUGAGGCUCGAAAGUGUGGGGAGCAAACAGGAUUAGAUACCCGUGUAGUC
rnacentral:rRNA from 1 species